UAUUGCACAAUGGGCGAAAGCCUGACGCAGCGACGCCGCGUGAGUGAUGAAGGCCUUCGGGUUGUAAAGCUCUGUGGAGGGGGACGAAUAAGUGUCGUCGAAUAGACGGCAUGAUGACGGUACCCCUUUAGCAAGCACCGGCUAACUCUGUGCCAGCAGCCGCGGUAAGACAGAGGGUGCAAACGUUGUUCGGAAUUACUGGGCGUAAAGCGCGUGUAGGCUGCUCGGAAAGUCGGAUGUGAAAGCCCUGGGCUCAACCCAGGAAGAGCAUUCGAAACUCCCGAGCUCGAGUACCGGAGAGGAAGGCGGAAUUCUCGGUGUAGAGGUGAAAUUCGUAGAUAUCGAGAGGAACACCUGUGGCGAAGGCGGCCUUCUGGACGGUUACUGACGCUGAGACGCGAAAGCGUGGGGAGCAAACAGGAUCAGAUACCCUGGUAGUCCACGCCGUAAACGAUGGGUGCUAGGUGUCGCGGGAUUUGACCCCUGCGGUGCCGUAGCUA
rnacentral:rRNA from 1 species